rnacentral:rRNA from 1 species
UACGUAGGGUGCAAGCGUUAAUCGGAUUUACUGGGCGUAAAGGGCGCGUAGGCGGUUUAGUGAGUGUGGUGUGAAAGCCCCGGGCUUAACCUGGGAAGUGCAUCGCAAACGACUAAGCUGGAGUAUAAGAGAGGGUGGCGGAAUUUCCGGUGUAGCGGUGAAAUGCGUAGAGAUCGGAAGGAAUGUCAAUGGCGAAGGCAGCCACCUGGCUUAAUACUGACGCUGAGGCGCGAAAGCGUGGGGAUCAAACAGG